CCCUUAGAUGUUCUGGGCCGCACGCGCGCUACACUGAUGCAUUCAACGAGUUUCUUCCUGGUCCGAGAGGAAUGGGUAACCUUUUGAAAGUGCAUCGUGAUAGGGAUAGACUAUUGCAAUUAUUGGUCUUCAACGAGGAAUUCCUAGUAGACGUAGUUCAUCAGACUGCAUCGAUUACGUCCCUGCCCUUUGUACACACCGCCCGUCGCUCCUACCGAUUGAAUGCUCAGGUGGGCCAUUCGGACUUUCAUCAUGCUGGUUUCCAGUUUUGAUGAAGGAAAGUCUUGUGAACCUUAUCAUUUAGAGGAAGGAGAAGUCGUAACA
rnacentral:rRNA from 1 species